GAUGAACAAGAGACAAAGAGCAAGCUUGCUGGAACUGAUGCAAUGAUGAUACAAAAUUUCUAUUACCAAUACUGUAGAAAAUAUCUUCACAAAGGUUCAGUUUCUCAACUUUGUUCUUUGCCCACAAUAAGUGAAAUCCAUCAUGAUUGAUCUUGGGACAAGUGGGUGGAUGGAGUUGGUCUUACUAUGGAGGGUGCUGGCCGCGGGGGAGCGAUGUUGCUUAGCUUUGACUUUGCGAUGGCGCGCUGAUAUGUUUUUAGAGCUAUGGAUCAAUUUGUUGGCUUUGAAGGACAAGAUCAGAUUAUUGGCUGAUAACUUGGCUUUGAAUUUGGAUGCCAUACUGCAUGAUCUUCAUCCAGCAUCUUGGCAGAGUGGUGGUUUGCGAUGAGCAAAUCUGAUUCUAAAGACAGCCAAUUAGGAAGGCUACAAUCCAGUGUGGCAUCCUAGAUUCUGAAGGAGAGGUUGCACACGCUGAAUGAGGCUGUGAUGGUGAUGUCUAGGGCUAGCGUGCUGAAGAAUGGGCAAAUGAGUAAAAAUAAGCAUGGUAGAGAGGGAAGCUAUUUUGGAGGAGCUGAAGACUGUAGAGCUACACCAUAAGAAACUCAACGUGCCAUUAUAUUCGUUAGUCUAUCCUAUGGUUACUUUAGUCCAUUAUAUUCUUAUUAAUAAGUAACUGAGUAACUGAAAUCUAGGUUGGGGUUCCAUCACACUCCAACCUUCCUUUGCCUCUCCAUACUCGUCUCGUGCUGAUACUCAUCAGUUAACAAUUAACCAGUGCAUACACGCAUAUGUGCCUAAAAGUCAGGUGACUGCUAUAGCUCUUUGUUAGCUAGGCCAAUUGUACUCAUCCAAUGGAUCGAAACCAACAACGGGCAAUGCUUGGUUAAAAGUUACUAUAGCCUGAAUGCAUGUAUGUACGUACGCACGUAUAAAUGUAUGUGUUUAGAUGCUUCA